CCGUGUUAGCCAGGAUGGUCUCGAUCUCCUGACCUCGUGAUCCGCCCGCCUCGGCCUCCCAAAGUGCUGGGAUUACAGGCGUGAGCCACCGCGCCCGGCCAACAAGCAUUUCUUGAGGAGGGAUGAUGAACACAUCUGCACUUUGGAAAGAAUUACAGUGGUGAUGUGAAGACACGGUUGGAAAGCAGCAAAAGUAGGAGGGAAAGAAAUUGGCAUCUCGAAGUAACUUUAGAAGAACAGAAAUCAACUUGGCUGAAUUUCUUGGUUGAAAUCUAUUAUUUCUGAGAUCUUCUACCCUAGUUGCAGCUCCACUUGCUACUACUACUACCAAGACAGUCUUUGGUGCUUGCCAUGAAGUCUCCUACUCCGCUAUCCAACUCCUUAAUUCCUCAAGCUUUGAGAAUUUUAGAGAUUUAUACUGGAAUUUAGAGACUUAGCCAUGAAGUCUUAGAUAUAUUUAUGCAUAUAAAGAGAGAUGACUGAAAAUCCACCCAAGGUUUGUGCUCCCCCUGUAUAGUACAGAGUUGUUUCUGAAAAGUUGUUUCCCAAUCAGGGCCCAGCUCUGGUGUGAUCCUGUGACUGAGUUCUGGCCAAUGGAGUGGGAGCAGAAAACAAUUCAUGCUACUUUCAGCCAUAAGAACUUCCUUCAGAACCUUCAUUUCUCUUCUUCAAGCUGACCUUGGGAGCGAAGUGUUGAAGAUGGCAGAGCCUCUAUCAUUCUAGAUCUUUGAAGGACUCCAUGGAGCACACUCCUAUUUCCUUCAACCCCCUCUUCUAUCACAUAGUGAUGGGGUAUUACAGGAGUGGGAAAUAAGUCUCUCUUCUGAAAAUAUCAAGCAGGAAGAAGAAAAAGACAUUAUAUACAGGAGAACAACAACAGGAAUUACUAUUGACUUCUUAUGGGAAACAAUGGUGGCCAGAAUACAAGGGAA